rnacentral:rRNA from 1 species
CGCCCGCUCAGAAACUUAAAGGAAUUGACGGGGCCCGCACAAGCGGUGGAGCAUGUGGUUUAAUUCGAUGAUACGCGAGGAACCUUACCUGGGCUCAAAUGUAUGUUGACGUAUUCUGAAAGGGAUACUUCUUCGGACAAUAUACAAGGUGCUGCAUGGUUGUCGUCAGCUCGUGCCGUGAGGUGUCGGGUUAAGUCCCAUAACGAGCGCAACCCCUAUCAUUAGUUGCCAUCAGGUCAAGCUGGGGACUCUAAUGAAACUGCCUACGCAAGUAGUGAGGAAGGUGGGGAUGACGUCAAAUCAGCACGGCCCUUACGUCCAGGGCUACACACGUGCUACAAUGGCCGGCACAGCGGGAAGCGAGGCAGUGAUGCCAAGCGGAUCCCUUAAAGCCGGUCUCAGUUCGGAUUGAAGUCUGCAACUCGACUUCAUGAAGCUGGAAUCGCUAGUAAUCGCAGAUCAGCCAAGCUGCGGUGAAUACGUUCCCGGGCCUU